UGAGGAAUAUUGGUCAAUGGAGGAAACUCUGAACCAGCCAUGCCGCGUGCAGGAUGACGGCCCUACGGGUUGUAAACUGCUUUUAUAUAGGAAGAAACCUCUUUACGUGUAGAGAGCUGACGGUACUAUAUGAAUAAGGAUCGGCUAACUCCGUGCCAGCAGCCGCGGUAAUACGGAGGAUCCAAGCGUUAUCCGGAAUCAUUGGGUUUAAAGGGUGCGUAGGCGGAAUAAUAAGUCAGAGGUGAAAUCCUGCAGCUCAACUGUAGAACUGCCUUUGAUACUGUUAUUCUUGAAUCUAGUUGAAGUAGGCGGAAUGUAACAUGUAGCGGUGAAAUGCAUAGAGAUGUUAC
rnacentral:rRNA from 1 species